rnacentral:rRNA from 1 species
CCUACGGGAGGCAGCAGUGGGGGAUAUUGCACAAUGGGGGGAACCCUGAUGCAGCGACGCCGCGUGGGUGAAGGAGCGUUUCGGCGCGUAAAGCCCUAUCGGCAGGGACGAAGAUGACGGUACCUGGCCAAGAAGCCCCGGCUAACUACGUGCCAGCAGCCGCGGUAAGACGUAGGGGGCAAGCGUUAUCCGGAUUUACUGGGGGUAAAGGGGGCGCAGGCGGAAAUGCAAGCCAGGAGUGAAAGCCCGGGGGCCAACCCCGGGAGAGCUCUUGCAACUGCAUGGCUUGAGUACAGGAGGGGCAGGCGGAAUGCCUAGUGUAGCGGUGAAAGGCGUAGAUAUUAGGAGGAACACCGGUGGCGAAGGCGGCCUGCUGGACUGUAACUGACGUUGAGGCCCGAAGGCGUGGGGAGCAAACAGGAGUAGAUACCCUGGUAGUC